AGCGAAACCACUGAGCUAAAUUCCCAGCGGCAUGAUAUUUUUAAAAAUAUGCCAUGAAGUAAACAGGCCUCCUAUGCCACACAUUCUCACUGUGAUGUACUGUGCCAGUACUGUGAUGUACUUGACCGAAAGCAACAGGGCCAAGCAACCAUGGACUGAAGCCUCUGAAACUAGUAUCGUCCUGCUGACAAUCCUUUCCUAGGACUGCCUGUUGCCACCAGGAAAAAGAUGCCACAGAAAGUUCCCACCGGACGAAACCAGCUGCCCAGAUUUUCUUCUCAGGAAGAUUUGGGAGAAAAUUUCCCAUGAAAAAAUUUGCUAUAUGAUUUUAAUAUUUUUGUUAUUUUCAUUUUAACAAUUAUUGCAGCCAAACUAGCCAGUGACAAAAUAACUGAAAAUGAUUGUGAAUGCAUAAAAUUUAUAUGAAAUGUGAAAGUCUUUGGCCCUACUUUUUGGAAGUUAAAUGUCCCAAUAAGAAGAACCAUAAUUUUAGCAUGGAACAAAAUGUAUGUUUUUGUGUUAAUUAUAUUGAAAACAUGCAUAUUUGAAUCGAUCCUCAGUUUAUCUUGUAUUUUCACACACAAAAGAAGUUAACUCAGAAUUUUUAAGAUUUCACCAAUGGAAUAAAUUUGAAUUCUCUGAACCUGAAAAGAUAGUUUCAAUAUAUAUGAAGAAUUAUAUUUACAUUAAUGUAUAUGUAACGUGGGAGCAAAAGACCACAAAACUUCCACCGUGAAAUAACAAAUGAGAAAACAUUUGUUGAAGUCAGUUUUCCAGUGUGGUUACAGUUAUGAGGUAGAAAUGGAAAGUGUCUUUCUGAAUCUCCUUGCUUUGUAUCCUUUCCCAUUAAAGGGCAAUGAAAAC